rnacentral:rRNA from 1 species
AUACGGAGGGUGCAAGCGUUGUUCGGAAUUAUCGGGCGUAAAGGGUGCGUAGGCGGCCAGGCAAGCCAGAGGUUAAAGGCUACGGCUUAACCGUAGUAAGCCUUUGGAACUGUAUGGCUUGAGUGCAGGAGAGGAGAGUGGAAUUCCUAGUGUAGCGGUGAAAUGCGUAGAUAUUAGGAGGAACACCAGUGGCGAAGGCGACUCUCUGGACUGCAACUGACGCUGAGGCACGAAAGCGUGGGGAGCGAACAGGAUUAGAUACCCUGGUAGUCCACGCCGUAAACGAUGAGUGCUAGGUGUCGGGGGUUCACACCCUCGGUGCCGGAGUUAACGCAUUAAGCACUCCGCCUGGGGAGUACGGUCGCAAGACUGAA